CAUUGGCCGGCAAGUAGCGCAGUCUGAUCAGCAAUGCCGCGUGAGUGAUGAAGGCCUUCGGGUUGUAAAGCUCUUUUAACUACAAUUAAAAUCCCUGAACGUGGAUAAAUUGGACCGGCAGUCUGGUGCCAGCAGCCGCGGUAAUACUCUAUGCC
rnacentral:rRNA from 1 species